rnacentral:lncRNA from 1 species
AUAAAACUUUCAUCCAUUAGAUAUUACUUUUGUUAACUUAAAGCUAACAGUAUGCCAUGUCCAGCUAGAAUACCAGUAUGUCAUGACAUACUUAGGUUAACAGUUUGUCAUGUCAGCCUAGUCUUAUCAGUAUGUCAUGAUAUGUCUAAUGUUAACAGUAUGUCAUGUCCGUUGAAGGUUAAUAGUUUAUCAUGUAAUACUUAAGUUAUCAGUAUGUCAUGAUAUACUAAUGUUAACAGUAUGUCAUGGCAGCAUAAUAUCAUCAGUAUGUCAUGACAUACUUAGGUUAUCAGUAUGUCAUGUCCGUCUAAGGUUAACAGUAUGUCAUGUAAGCCUAAGGUUAACAGUAUGUCAUGUCUACAUGAUGUUAUCAGUACGUCGAGACAUACUUAGGUUAACAGUUUGUCAAUCCCCCGGACUCAUGCCAAACUUGGGUAAUCAAUAUGGCAUUGCAAUUUUAUGUCAACAUUUUAUAAUGAUAACCUUAGGGUAUCAGUCUGUCAUGAUAACCUUGUAGUUUUUGAUUGUUGAAAGAUUUUGUUUUUAUGGUUUGGAUUUUCUUUAAAAAAAAUUCUCAUUAUCAUGCUUUUUUCAUAAGACUUGUCAAUUUGAUGUUUUUACUUUUUGGGUAUCCCAAUCCAUCAGAUUAACUAGGACAACACAUGUUAUAACUAAUCCUCAUCAUGCUUCUCAUUAAUACUUCAUUAAUCAUGAUUGGAAUUGCUACUUAAUUUAUUUUUAACAGAUUUAUUUUGUAAAUUUUAUUUUUAGUGACCUAGCCCUUGUGUCUUUGUGAGCUUUUUUCAUCUUAUUGCAUCUGUUGACUGUCAGAUCCUUUUUGUCAGACCCACAGCAUUAACUUUGGUGGUUCACAUUUAGAUGCAGGCUAACAAAGUUUUUCAGUGUGUUAAUUCUUUAAACCAUUCCACAUGCACUUUCUUUGGUAUAACUUCCAAACUUUUCUGUUUUCAAACCAUCAUUCCCUUUCUGCAUGAAUAAGCAGAAGAUGGACAAAAAAGGCCCCACAAUGCCUGAAGUCUAGUUAUAUGAUGGUUGAUCCAAAAGAUUGUAUCUGUUAUAAAAUAAUAUACAGAUACACAUACAUGUCCAUCCUAUCAACAUUGUCAGAAAUUGGUUUUACUUUGAGACUUGCAAGAUGAAAAGUAUGUCUAAUAUAAGAUGGACACAUAUCAGAUUCAAUCAUUGAGGAAUUUGAAAAAUGUCAAAAAUAAAAAAUGUUAAACUCUAAUUAUAUAAAAGAUAGUCUUGAAUAACAUUAUUACAAGUCUUGAAGAUUUACCAUCUUUAUCUUGAUGCAUGUAGAUUUUAAAACAAUUAUUACCAACAAUUUAUUGGAUUGUGUCUUUUUUAUACAUAUAUAUCAUAUAUUCAAUGUAUUUGUGUGGUAUACUCGGAAAACUAUUUAUAAAUGGAAUGACUUCAGUUUUCAUGUAUAUGGUUUUGUGGGAAUUUUUCUUGAUUUUUAAAGUGUCAAUCUGCCUAAGAAUCAGGCAGUGGUGAAAACAUGACCAAAAAACCCCACCCAAUUUGACAUUGAUUUCAGUUCAUAAUAUGUAGUUAUGCACAGAAAUAACAUUCAUUUCCGUUUUCUGUUCUGGUAAUAGAAGAUACAAUUUGGUUGAAAUGCAUUAGAAAUUAACGAAUAAGGGGAGAUAACUCUGUAAUUUGCUAUCAUUCUAACCAAUUUUCUAACCAAGUUAUUUGACAUUACCAGACACACACAAACGGAAGACUAAUAAUUUUAAACUCAGGAUGAUGGUUAGUAUUAAAUAGCAUGAUUAGCUCGGUGGUUUUUUUUUUUAUCAUGUUUUAAUUUUUACCUAAAUUGCCUGAUUCUUACAAAGACUGGCACUUCAUGCAACAUAUCCCUAUAAUGAAUAUUUAUUAUACCAAAGUCUGCACUUUACACAGAAAAAGCCUAUUCCACCUUGUAAUACAUAUGCAAGUUAUUUAAAAAAACACAAUAAUUGAAACAGUAAAUAUUAAUGAAUUCAACAUGUUCAAUAAUAAAUAUUUUAAUAACUUUGACAAGUUUAGUUCAAUAUCCUUUUCAGAAAUAUUACUGUCAUACUGACUACAUUUCUUUAUGUUAAUUAAUUAGGAGAAAACUGUAUUGUAUUUGAGCUCUGACAGUAUCAAUUGGUGAUUUGAUGGUUGCAAUUAAUUUACUGGUAUUGCACCAAUUGCUGCUGUUGGAGCAUAAAAUACAAUAUUGUUAUCUCCAUUCUAAUGAAACUGAUAGAGAAAACAACGUUAAAACAUACAUUUAAAAUCUGUCAUAUGUUGUCUGUGCUUGCUUGUACGUUUUCAUGUUGUGAAUUGAUGCCAUGAAAAAAGUGACGGUAUCAACUCAAAAUGGACGUUUCAAACAAUGUUGCAUUAGAAUGUAAAUUAUGUUUAGCUUUUUGACAGCUAGUAAUGGUCAUUUUUUUCUCUCACUAUAUUUGAUUCCAAUCAGGAUAUAUUUUAAUUUGUAUUAAUGUCUUUAUGUAUGUUUGUUUGAAUUCGAUAAUUUACUAGUCUAAUUAAUCACAGAAAUGCUACUGAAAUUGUGCAAUAGAAUUUUACAAUAGAAAGUGCUACAAAUUUAUGUACUGUAUUUUGUUUAGUUUUAAGUCAGCAGAAAGGAAUUAUUGAAACAGAAAGUUAUUUAAGCAAUAUGUUAUGAAUACCAGAUUAUAAAUAUUUGAGGGACCAAGGAAACCCAUUUUAUUUUAAUUCUUAUAGAAUAUUAUACAAUAUAUUUUCAUUGGAUAAGGUUUUUGGCCUUUGGCAUCAAGCUAUCAAUCCAUUAUUUGAUUUCCAUUAAAUCCAUCCUGUUUUAUUCAGUAUUAGUUGCAAUGGUGGAUCUAGAGGGGGUGAGGGUUGGGGUGUUGGGUUUGGGGGAGGGGGUUGGAAACCCCCCUUUUUUUGGACAAUGAAUGCAUUUGAAUGGGGACAUAUAUUUGUAACCCUCCUUUUUUAUCCUGGGUUGGGAAACCCCCUUUUAAAAGUGGCUGGAUCCACCUGGGAAUUGAUUCCAAAAUGACGAGUAGAUUUAUACUAUAUUUAGGAAGAUUUUAAGACUUUUGAGAUAUUUUAAUGUUUUUAGUUCCUGCAGUUUGGGUCUAUAUUUGAUAAAUCUUUCAUCUACAAAUAGGGGCAAUGUUUUCAUUUGAUCUCAUAUUUUACAAGAUUUUAAAAGCAAAAUUGAUAGGAAAGAUAUAUAUCCUGAUAUUAGUAUUCCCAGAAGUUUAGUGAAAGAAAACUAUAAGAAUGCAAUGUGUCAGUUAGUAUACCUGUCUGUCAUUAUUGUAGACCACAUAUUGUCUGAAUGCCUUAGUUAAGGUUCCACUAAAGUCAAAAUAUAGGACACUUUAUAAACAUCCAAACUUUGCCUGUAUUUUUCAACCUAUAAUGAAUAAAGUCAUAAACUAUGAGAAC